AGUAACACGUGAGUAAUCUGCCCUUGGCUUUGGGAUAACCACCGGAAACGGUGGCUAAUACCGGAUAUGACGGGCUCCGGGCAUCGGGGGUUCGUGGGAAAAGUUUUUUUCGGGCCAGGGAUGUGCUCGCGGCCUAUCAGCUUGUUGGUGGGGUAAUGGCCUACCAAGGCUUCGACGGGUAGCCGGCCUGAGAGGGUGACCGGCCACACUGGGACUGAGACACGGCCCAGACUCCUACGGGAGGCAGCAGUGGGGAAUAUUGGACAAUGGGCGGAAGCCUGAUCCAGCAACGCCGCGUGAGGGAUGACGGCCUUCGGGUUGUAAACCUCUUUCAGUACCGACGAAGCGCCGAUGAUGGUGGUGACGGUAGGUACAGAAGAAGCACCGGCCAACUACGUG
rnacentral:rRNA from 1 species